rnacentral:rRNA from 1 species
GGGUCAGUAGGUUGGUCGUGCCACCGGUACGUACUGGUCUCACUGAUCCCUCCUUCCUGAAGAACCGUAAUGCCAUCAACUUGGUGUUGCGGGGAAACAGGACUAUUACUUUGAAAAAAUUAGAGUGUUUAAAGCAAGCUAACGCUUGAAUACAUUAGCAUGGAAUAAUGAAAUAGGACGAUCGAUCCUAUUUUGUUGGUUUCUAGGAUUGACGUA